GCACAAGCGGUGGAUGAUGUGGAUUAAUUCGAUGCAACGCGAAAACCUUACCUACCCUUGACAUGUCUGGAACCUUGGUGAGAGCCGAGGGUGCCUUCGGGAGCCAGAACACAGGUGCUGCAUGGCUGUCGUCAGCUCGUGUCGUGAGAUGUUGGGUUAAGUCCCGCAACGAGCGCAACCCUUGUCACUAGUUGCCAUCAUUUAGUUGGGCACUCUAGUGAGACUGCCGGUGACAAACCGGAGGAAGGUGGGGAUGACGUCAAGUCCUCAUGGCCCUUAUGGGUAGGGCUUCACACGUCAUACAAUGGUCGGUACAGAGGGUUGCCAAGCCGCGAGGUGGAGCCAAUCCCUUAAAGCCGAUCGUAGUCCGGAUCGUAGUCUGCAACUCGACUAUGUGAAGUCGGAAUCGCUAGUAAUCGUGGAUCAGCAUGCCACGGUGAAUACGUUCCCGGGCCUU
rnacentral:rRNA from 1 species